rnacentral:rRNA from 3 species
GUCGAACGAAAUCUUUCGGGAUUUAGUGGCGGACGGGUGAGUAACGCGUGAGAAUCUGCCUUCAGGUCUGGGACAACCACUGGAAACGGUGGCUAAUACCGGAUGUGCCGCAAGGUGAAAGGUUAACUGCCUGAAGAUGAGCUCGCGUCUGAUUAGCUAGUAGGUAGUGUAAAGGACUACCUAGGCGACGAUCAGUAGCUGGUCUGAGAGGACGAUCAGCCACACUGGGACUGAGACACGGCCCAGACUCCUACGGGAGGCAGCAGUGGGGAAUUUUCCGCAAUGGGCGAAAGCCUGACGGAGCAAUACCGCGUGAGGGAGGAAGGCUCUUGGGUCGUAAACCUCUUUUCUCAGGGAAGAACAAAAUGACGGUACCUGAGGAAUAAGCAUCGGCUAACUCCGUGCCAGCAGCCGCGGUAAUACGGAGGAUGCAAGCGUUAUCCGGAAUGAUUGGGCGUAAAGCGUCCGCAGGUGGCUAUGUAAGUCUGCUGUUAAAGAGUCUAGCUCAACUAGAUAAGAGCAGUGGAAACUACAUGGCUAGAGUGCGUUCGGGGCAGAGGGAAUUCCUGGUGUAGCGGUGAAAUGCGUAGAGAUCAGGAAGAACACCGGUGGCGAAGGCGCUCUGCUAGGCCGCAACUGACACUGAGGGACGAAAGCUAGGGGAGCGAAUGGGAUUAGAUACCCCAGUAGUCCUAGCCGUAAACGAUGGAUACUAGGCGUG